rnacentral:rRNA from 1 species
UUGUUCUGCAAGUCCUCCGUUAAAUCCACCUGCUCAACAGAUGGGCUGCGGAGGAUACUACAGGGCUAGGAGGCGGGAGAGGCAAGCGGUACUCAGUGGGUAGGGGUAAAAUCCUCUGAUCCACCGAAGACCACCAGUGGCGAAGGCGGCUUGCCAGAACGCGCUCGACGGUGAGGGAUGAGAGCUGGGGGAGCAAACCGGAUUAGAUACCCGGGUAGUCCCAGCUGUAAACGAUGCAGACUCGGUGAUGGGUUGGCUUCGCGCCAACCCAGUGCCGCAGGGAAGCCGUUAAGUCUGCCGCCUGGGGA